GACUGCGGAGAUCAUUAAUUACAACAAUAAGCCAAUGGGUCCAGGGGAGGCAGCAACCGCCGGCGGUUCUUCGCCGGGGCAUCCGUCCCGGUACCCGGCCGGCGGGGCUCCCUGGAUCAACGCUUUAUCGGGUGCGAUUGCGGCCCUCGGGGCCCCGUGACCUACCGCGCCCUUCGGUGACCUCAUGUCGGGCUUCGGUUGCACGGGAGCCAGCCCCGUGUGGUUAAGGCGUCAAGACCUUUUAACGCACGCAUGCCUGAAUCCUUUUACUUUACCAGUACCUCUCGUUCUCCUUCGGCGGGGCAACCUGCCGUCGGAACCGUCAAUAACCCUUUUUCGUGCAUCUAGCAUUACCUGUUCUGAUAACAAACAAUCGUUACAACUUUCAACAAUGGAUCUCUUGGCUCUGGCAUCGAUGAAGAACGCAGCGAAAUGCGAUAAGUAGUGUGAAUUGUAGAAUUCAGUGAAUCAUCGAAUCUUUGAACGCACAUUGCGCCCCUUGGUAUUCCAUGGGGCAUGCCUGUUCGAGCGUCAUCUACACCCUCAAGCUCUGCUUGGUGUUGGGCGUCUGUCCCGCCUCCGCGUGCGGACUCGCCCCAAAUCCAUUGGCAGCAGACCUUGCCUCCUCUCGCGCAGCACAUUGCGCUUCUCGAGGUGCUUGCGGCCCGCGUCCACGAAGCAUCAUUUACCGUCUUUGACCUCGGAUCAGGUAGGGAUACCCGCUGAACUUAAGCAUAUCAAUAAGCGGAGGA
rnacentral:rRNA from 1 species